GUAUGGUGCAAGCGUUAUCCGGAUUUACUGGGUGUAAAGGGAGCGCAGGCGGUGCGGCAAGUCUGAUGUGAAAGCCCGGGGCUCAACCCCGGUACUGCAUUGGAAACUGUCGUACUAGAGUGUCGGAGGGGUAAGCGGAAUUCCUAGUGUAGCGGUGAAAUGCGUAGAUAUUAGGAGGAACACCAGUGGCGAAGGCGGCUUACUGGACGAUAACUGACGCUGAGGCUCGAAAGCGUGGGGAGCAAACAGGAUUAGAUACCCUGGUAGUCCACGCCGUAAGCGAUGAAUACUAGGUGUUGGGAAGCAUUGCUUCUCGGUGCCGUCGCAAACGCAGUAAGUAUUCCACCUGGGGAGUACGUUCGCAAGAAUG
rnacentral:rRNA from 1 species